GUUAGGAAUAUUCGUCAAUGGGGGAAACCCUGAACGAGCAAUGCCGCGUGAAGGAUGACGGUCCUAUGGAUUGUAAACUUCUGUUGUUAGGGAAGAACGACCUAAGUAGGAAAUGACUUAGGAGUGACGGUACCUUUCAAGAAAGCUCCGGCUAACUACGUGCCAGCAGCCGCGGUAAUACGUAGGGAGCGAGCGUUAUCCGGAUUUAUUGGGUGUAAAGGGUGCGUAGGCGGCUUAUUAAGUCUGUAGUCUAAGCCCGGAGCUUAACUCCGGUUCGCUACAGAAACUGAUUAGCUUGAGUAUGGUAGAGGCAAGUGGAAUUUCUAGUGUAGCGGUUAAAUGCGUAGAUAUUAGAAGGAACACCAGUGGCGAAGGCGACUUGCUGGGCCAUCACUGACGCUGAGGCACGAAAGCGUGGGGAGCAAAUAGGA
rnacentral:rRNA from 1 species